CCUACGGGUGGCUGCAGUGGGGAAUAUUGCACAAUGGGCGCAAGCCUGAUGCAGCCAUGCCGCGUGUGUGGAGAAGGCCUUCGGGUUGUAAAGCACUUUCAGCGGGGAGGAAGGCGGUGAGGUUAAUAACCUCAUCGAUUGACGUUACCCGCAGAAGAAGCACCGGCUAACUCCGUGCCAGCAGCCGCGGUAAUACGGAGGGUGCAAGCGUUAAUCGGAAUUACUGGGCGUAAAGCGCACGCAGGCGGUCUGUCAAGUCGGAUGUGAAAUCCCCGGGCUCAACCUGGGAACUGCAUUCGAAACUGGCAGGCUAGAGUCUUGUAGAGGGGGGUAGAAUUCCAGGUGUAGCGGUGAGAUGCGUAGAGAUCUGGAGGAAUACCGGUGGCGAAGGCGGCCCCCUGGACAAAGACUGACGCUCAGGUGCGAAAGCGUGGGGAGCAAACAGGAUUAGAUACCCGAGUAGUC
rnacentral:rRNA from 1 species